rnacentral:rRNA from 1 species
AGGGUUUGAUCAUGGCUCAGAACGAACGCUGGCGGCAUGCCUAACACAUGCAAGUCGAACGGUAACAGGUCUUCGGAUGCUGACGAGUGGCGCACGGGUGAGUAACGCGUGGAUAUCUGCCUAUUAGUGGGGGACAACUUGUGGAAACGCAAGCUAAUACCGCAUAAUCUCUACGGAGCAAAGCAGGGGACCCUUCGGGGCCUUGUGCUGAUAGAUGAGUCCGCGUCAGAUUAGCUAGUUGGUGGGGUAAGAGCCUACCAAGGCGAUGAUCUGUAGCUGGUUUGAGAGGAUGAUCAGUCACACUGGAACUGAGACACGGUCCAGACUCCUACGGGAGGCAGCAGUGGGGAAUUUUGCACAAUGGGCGCAAGCCUGAUGCAGCGAUGCCGCGUGUGGGAAGAAGGCCUUUGGGUUGUAAACCACUUUCAUUUGGGAAGAAGAGAUGAGAGUUAAUAGCCCUCUGAUUUGACGGUACCUUUAGAAGAAGCACCGGCUAAUUUCGUGCCAGCAGCCGCGGUAAUACGAAAGGUGCAAGCGUUGUUCGGAUUUACUGGGCGUAAAGAGAUCGUAGGUGGUUUGUUAAGUUGGAUGUGAAAUCCCGGGGCUCAACCUCGGAACUGCAUCCAAAACUGACAGACUUGAGUUCGGGAGGGGUAAGCGGAAUUCCGUGUGUAGCAGUGAAAUGCGUAGAUAUACGGAGGAACACCUGAGGCGAAGGCGGCUUACUGGACCGAUACUGACACUGAGGAUCGAAAGCGUGGGUAGCAAACAGGAUUAGAUACCCUGGUAGUCCACGCCCUAAACGAUGUCAACUAGCCGUUGCGGGUAUCGACCCCUGCAGUGGCGCAGCUAACGCGAUAAGUUGACCGCCUGGGGGAGUACGGUCGCAAGAUU